AUUUGUUUUAAGCCGAAAGCUGACAAUCCUCGCUUUAACCAGGUGUAGUAUCUGUUCUUUAUAGGUAUGUGGUUUUUAUACUACACUUACCAUAUAUAGUGCUGAUAUUUCCUUUUUAAUCCAGCUUAACCGCUAUAACGACCCCAUCGGGGUCUGUUUUCGGUUAUAUAAUUUUUGCCGCCCCCGUUCCUCGAGCUCUGCUUGCAACUCGAGGACACGAUGACCUUGCUAUUGCAGUACCGGCUUGUGUCGUCAGGGGAUC
rfam:Moniliophthora roreri MCA 2997 sctg_0282_0002, whole genome shotgun sequence.